rnacentral:rRNA from 1 species
AUUGAACGCUGGCGGCAUGCCUAACACAUGCAAGUCGAACGAGUGGCGGACGGGUGAGUAAUGUCUGGGCAACUGCCUGAUGGAGGCGGAUAACUACUGGAAACAGUAGCUACUACCGCAUACCUUCGUAUGUGCCCAGAUGGGAUUAGCUAGUGGGUGGGGUAACGGCUCACCUAGGCAACGAUCCCUAGCUGGUCUGAGAGGAUGACGAGCCACACGGGAACUGAGACACGGUCCAGACUCCUACGGGAGGCAGCAGUGGGGAAUAUUGGACAAUGGGCGAAAGCCUGAUGCAGCCAUGCCGCGUGUAUGAAGAAGGCAUUCGGGUUGUAAAGUACUUUCAGCGGGGAGGCGUUACUCGCAGAAGAAGCACCGGCUAACUCCGUGCCAGCAGCCGCGGUAAUUC